UACGAAGGGUGCAAGCGUUACUCGGAAUUACUGGGCGUAAGCGUGCGUAGGUGGUUUGUUAAGUCUGAUGUGAAAGCCCUGGGCUCAACCUGGGAAUUGCACUGGAUACUGGCAGGCUAGAGUGCGGUAGAGGAUGGCGGAAUUCCCGGUGUAGCAGUGAAAUGCGUAGAGAUCGGGAGGAACAUCUGUGGCGAAGGCGGCCAUCUGGACCAGCACUGACACUGAGGCACGAAAGCGUGGGGAGCAAACAGG
rnacentral:rRNA from 1 species